rnacentral:rRNA from 1 species
GAUGAACGCUGGCGGCGUGCCUAAUACAUGCAAGUCGAGCGAACGGACGAGAAGCUUGCUUCUCUGAUGUUAGCGGCGGACGGGUGAGUAACACGUGGAUAACCUACCUAUAAGACUGGGAUAACUUCGGGAAACCGGAGCUAAUACCGUAUAAUAUUUUGAACCGCAUGGUUCAAAAGUGAAAGACGGUCUUGCUGUCACUUAUAGAUGGAUCCGCGCUGCAUUAGCUAGUUGGUAAGGUAACGGCUUACCAAGGCAACGAUGCAUAGCCGACCUGGGAGGGGGGUAGGCCGCCUGAGAACGGAGACGGGCACAAGACGACUGAGAGAGGGACAAGGAGGAAAUGGGAGGAAGGGGGGGAAAACAUGGCAGAAAGGGCGGGAGGGAGAAGCAAAGGUGUCGGGAGGGGAAAGAUGUUUUAUGGGGGAAAAACAUAUGUGUAAAGAGAUGAACACUUCGUGACGGUACAUAAAAAAAAAGCAACGGCAAACUACGUG